AGAAUUGCUGGGAUAGGGAAUAGUACUUUAGGAUCCUCUUUAGAGAAGCGGCGGAAGGUGCAAGCCGUUGUUGGUGACUAUGGGAACUCGCCCUGGAGCUGUGUUCAGGUUACAAUGAACACCGGUGUGAGCCGUUAUAAUCUUUCGAGGACUAUUUAAAAUUGGGUGGUACCACGGGAGUAGAUCUCUCGUCCCUUGA
rnacentral:ncRNA from 1 species